rnacentral:rRNA from 1 species
GCCCAGACUCCUACGGGAGGCAGCAGUGAGGAAUAUUGGUCAAUGGCCGAGAGGCUGAACCAGCCAAGUCGCGUGAGGGAAGACGGCCCUACGGGUUGUAAACCUCUUUUGUCGGGGAGCAAAGCGAGUCACGUGUGACUCAUUGAGAGUACCCGAAGAAAAAGCAUCGGCUAACUCCGUGCCAGCAGCCGCGGUAAUACGGAGGAUGCGAGCGUUAUCCGGAUUUAUUGGGUUUAAAGGGUGCGCAGGCGGAAUGUCAAGUCAGCGGUAAAAUUUCGGGGCUCAACCCCGUCGUGCCGUUGAAACUGGCGGGCUGGAGUUGGAGAGAAGUACGCGGAAUGCGCGGUGUAGCGGUGAAAUGCUUAGAUAUCGCGCAGAACCCCGAUUGCGAAGGCAGCGUACCGGCUCCACACUGACGCUGAGGCACGAAAGUGCGGGGAUCGAACAGGAUUAGAUACCCCCGUAGAG